UUGUGUAGUAACCAAGAUCACUAGCAAACUUCCAAAAAUUCACAAGAGCUUUCCAGGAGCUUUCUGAUCAUCAAGGUCGACUUCUAGUGUCCACUAAACAUCUUUAGGACCAUUCCUAUUCGAAUGCAUAUUAGGAAGCCCGGUAAAAGCUAUCAACACUUAUCAUUUGUGACUUAUACUUGCUCAGGUACUAUACGGAAAUAGGCUGGCUGUUUCCUAGAGAGCGUCCACAAUAGUCUCGCAAACUCGGACG
rnacentral:lncRNA from 1 species